UGGGAGCUUGCUCCCUGAUGUUAGCGGCGGACGGGUGAGUAACACGUGGGUAACCUGCCUGUAAGACUGGGAUAACUCCGGGAAACCGGGGCUAAUACCGGAUGCUUGUUUGAACCGCAUGGUUCAAACAUAAAAGGUGGCUUCGGCUACCACUUACAGAUGGACCCGCGGCGCAUUAGCUAGUUGGUGAGGUAAUGGCUCACCAAGGCAACGAUGCGUAGCCGACCUGAGAGGGUGAUCGGCCACACUGGGACUGAGACACGGCCCAGACUCCUACGGGAGGCAGCAGUAGGGAAUCUUCCGCAAUGGACGAAAGUCUGACGGAGCAACGCCGCGUGAGUGAUGAAGGUUUUCGGAUCGUAAAGCUCUGUUGUUAGGGAAGAACAAGUACCGUUCGAAUAGGGCGGUACCUUGACGGUACCUAACCAGAAAGCCACGGCUAACUACGUGCCAGCAGCCGCGGUAAUACGUAGGUGGCAAGCGUUGUCCGGAAUUAUUGGGCGUAAAGGGCUCGCAGGCGGUUUCUUAAGUCUGAUGUGAAAGCCCCCGGCUCAACCGGGGAGGGUCAUUGGAAACUGGGGAACUUGAGUGCAGAAGAGGAGAGUGGAAUUCCACGUGUAGCGGUGAAAUGCGUAGAGAUGUGGAGGAACACCAGUGGCGAAGGCGACUCUCUGGUCUGUAACUGACGCUGAGGAGCGAAAGCGUGGGGAGCGAACAGGA
rnacentral:rRNA from 1 species